GUGUCUAAACAAGAUGUAAGAGUGGAGCAGAAAGUAUCAGUAAAACUGUUAGCAUUUAAAGAUGCAAACUGUUUAGGGGAAGGAAGUGAAUAUGAAACCAUUGCGGAUAGCCGGGAGGGUGAAAGUGUGCGUAGGUUACGUCGAAAGAUGACAUGUGGAGGGUGAAUGUGUGAAAGGGAUGGAUGCACCUGCUGAAGCUCGGGAAACAGAGGCACUAUCAGACCAGCAGCCCGGACCAGAGCCAGCCCAGAGCCUAAACAACACUGCCUUUCAACAACACCAAAACUUCCGCGAUCCUGGACUGAACCACUUCAUCUCCGAGCGGGGAGUCCUUCCAGCACCAAAUUCACUUAAUAUGACUUUAAAAAUACAACAUGCACGGUUAUUUCACGGGAAUCCUGGUAAAGAUGAACUGAAAUAAAGUUAAU